UGCCUUUAUAGCGGGGGAUAACUAUUGGAAACGAUAGCUAAUACCGCAUAACAAUAGAGAUUGCAUAAUCUUUAUUUGAAAGUGCCAACUGGUACACUAUGAGAUGGACCCGCGUUGUAUUAGCUAGUUGGUAGUGUAAUGGACUACCAAGGCGAUGAUACAUAGCCGACCUGAGAGGGUGAUCGGCCACAUUGGGACUGAGACACGGCCCAAACUCCUACGGGAGGCAGCAGUAGGGAAUCUUCGGCAAUGGACGAAAGUCUGACCGAGCAACGCCGCGUGAGUGAAGAAGGUUUUCGGAUCGUAAAACUCUGUUGUUAGAGAAGAACGUUGAUUAGAGUGGAAAAUUAAUCAAGUGACGGUAUCUAACCAGAAAGGGACGGCUAACUACGUGCCAGCAGCCGCGGUAAUACGUAGGUCCCGAGCGUUGUCCGGAUUUAUUGGGCGUAAAGCGAGCGCAGGUGGUUUAAUAAGUCUGAUGUAAAAGGCAGUGGCUCAACCAUUGUGUGCAUUGGAAACUGUUAGACUUGAGUGCAGUAGAGGAGAGUGGAAUUCCAUGUGUAGCGGUGAAAUGCGUAGAUAUAUGGAGGAACACCGGUGGCGAAAGCGGCUCUCUGGACUGUCACUGACAC
rnacentral:rRNA from 1 species